AUUGAACGCUGGCGGCAUGCCUUACACAUGCAAGUCGAACGGCAGCACGGGAGCUUGCUCCUGGUGGCGAGUGGCGAACGGGUGAGUAAUACAUCGGAACGUACCCUGAAGUGGGGGAUAACGUAGCGAAAGUUACGCUAAUACCGCAUAUUCUGUGAGCAGGAAAGAGGGGGAUCGCAAGACCUCUUGCUUUAGGAGCGGCCGAUGUCGGAUUAGCUAGUUGGUGAGGUAAAGGCUCACCAAGGCGACGAUCCGUAGCGGGUCUGGGAGGAUGAUCCGCCACACUGGGACUGAGACACGGCCCAGACUCCUACGGGAGGCAGCAGUGGGGAAUUUUGGACAAUGGGCGCAAGCCUGAUCCAGCCAUGCCGCGUGAGUGAAGAAGGCCUUCGGG
rnacentral:rRNA from 1 species